AACGUAGGUACCGAGCGUUAUCCGGAUUUACUGGGCGUAAAGCGCGUUCAGGCGGUUUGGCAAGUCGGGCAUGAAAUCCUUCGGCUCAACCGGGGGAGGCUGUCCGAUACUGCCGGACUGGAGGGCAGUAGAGGGUGGUGGAAUUCCGGGUGUAGUGGUGAAAUGCGUAGAGAUCCGGAGGAACACCAGUGGCGAAAGCGGCCACCUGGACUGUACCUGACGCUCAAACGCGAAAGCUAGGGGAGCGAAC
rnacentral:rRNA from 1 species